GGGGUUGUAGCUCAGCUGGUUUAGAGCGCCUGCCUGUCACGCAGGAGGUCGCGGGUUCGAGCCCCGUCAAUCCCGCCA
rnacentral:tRNA from 1 species